UGAAGCUUUUUGUGCUUCAUGAAUCAUGAAUCAAGAAUCAUGAUGGAGUAUUUUUUGAGGAUCAGGAAAGAUAAAAGGGUUCAGGCCCAAUUCUCCUGUGGGCUAUAAAUUUUUAAAUAAGCCUAUCAACAAAGUUUAAAACCAUAACAGAAAGCUCUAUUCUAUACGUGACACAAAGGAACAGGCUAAUUUCUAGGGUUUAAGAGCUCUACGAUUAAUUGCAGGGCUAAAUUCAAUCUUUCUUUACAAUCUUUUCGAGCCAGAAUUCUUUCUCGAAGGUUGGUGUGUUCUGGUUGUGACAUAAUGGCUAGAGUUUAUGUGGGAAAUUUGGAUCCCAGAGUUUCUGAGAGGGAUCUUGAAGAUGAAUUUAGAAUGUAUGGUGUUCUUCGCAGUGUGUGGGUUGCACGAAGGCCGCCAGGAUACGCAUUUGUUGAGUUUGAUGAUCGCAGAGAUGCUGUGGAUGCGAUUCGUGCUUUGGAUGGGAAGAAUGGGUGGCGUGUGGAACUCUCGCAUAAUUCCAAGGGUGGUGGAGGCCGUGGCGGCGGCAGCGGCGGUGGCGGACGCGGACGCGGUGGUGAGGAUAUGAAAUGCUAUGAAUGUGGCGAACCUGGUCAUUUUGCUCGAGAGUGUCGCCUGCGCAUUGGGUCUCGAGGUCUGGGAAGUGGUCGUCGCCGAAGCCCCAGCCCAAAGCGCCGUAGAAGUCCAAGUUAUGGGUAUGGGCGCAGGAGUUACAGCCCUCGUGGUGGUAGAAGAUCUCCCAGACGCCGCAGCGUCUCACCUCGCCGUGGUCGCAGCUACAGCAGAUCCCCUCCAUACCGUCAUGCCCGCCGUGAUUCUCCUUAUGCUAAUGGAGAUUGAGUGCUGGAAGCCAUAACUGAAGCAAGAUGGAAGGACAUCAAAGGAAGCUCUAUCUGCUAUACUGUUGUUCUAGUAGGACCAGUUGAUAUUAGUUGUGCUCAUGUCAUGACAGUGAGGUUUGUUAGAAACUGGAUUCUGGAUGGCUUCAUCAGUUUCGGCCAUUAAAAAGGGUACUCGGGAUACCAUUUUGUCGGCUUGCUGUCUCAGCUGCUUACUGAAUCUUGGAGGUAUGGUUUUCGGCUAAAACAGCAUCGUUUCGCCACUUUACUGCAUGUUAGUGCACACGGUUUUUCUCCAUUGCUUCUCUGCACGUUACCUUCUCCUCAUCGCCCCUGCAUGUUAUACAACUUGAAUCACAUGUUGAAAUUACCAAAUGUUCAGAAACUUGGUUGUGCACGACAUUUUUUACUGUAUUCUUCUGCAACAAAGCUUCUGUCCCACUUGCGACCUUCACACUUCACUAGCUGCUUCAAGAAGGUGAAGCUGAUCUUAUUGUUGUCCCUGUACUGCAUUCUUCUGCAACAAAGCUUCUGUCCCACUUACGACCUUCACAUUUCUGAUGGCUGCCCCAAGAAGGUGAAGCUGUUCUUGUUGUUGUCCCCAUCUCUGCUCAUCCGCACUUCGUCCUCCAUAGACUUGCUUAAUGUUGCUUUUUCAAGUACUGCUGAACCUGCAAAGCAUACAACCUGUUCUUAUGCAGUUUGCAUCAGCAAAGUGUCAUGAUCUAGUUUAGAUCUCAACUUCUCAUCCAUGCAUCAACAUGAUUUAGUCUAGAUCUCAACUUCUCAUAUAUGGGUUCAGUAGUAUAAAUGCCCUUUGGGCUUUGGGCACCUCACUUUCCAAGAAACAGGUAACAGGUGAAUUGCUUCAAGUGUUGAUGGAAACCUGAGAAUUGAUUUUCAUGAUUUUCCAGUACAAGAUAAAAUGUAUCUAUAGUCCAUAUGAAUCUUCAGGGGAAGGAUCUAAAGAUAAUCCCGCUCACAGGUCACAGUUGUUUCAGUUUCUGGGAUGGUACUGUUGUUCCAGAAACUUCUUUAUUCUGGUGCUUCCUUGGAUUUUUGUACUUGAUUCUACUACAUCUCAACUUGUUUUGGAACUGAUAAUGAUCUCCCUGGAUGCGAACCAUGCGAAAUCAAACUUCAAGCACUUUGUACCUUUUUUUUAAUUAUUAUUUUGUAUUUUUUGGAGGAGGAAUAAGCUAAGAGUUCCUUCACAUACCCAAAGCUCUUUAUGAUUCCCUUAGAACAUGAUAGUUUAAUGAUCUUUAUGAUUCCCUUGAA